GUGCUUACUGCAGCAGCACAUAUACUAAAAUUGGAAUGAUACAGAAAAGAUUAGCAUGGCUCCUGCACACGGAUGACAUGCAAAUUCAUGAAGCUUUCCAUAUUUAU
ensembl:snRNA U6 U6 spliceosomal RNA